rnacentral:rRNA from 1 species
AUGGUCAAGCUAGUAAGGGCAGACGGUGGAUGCCUAGGCGCUGAGAGGCGAUGAAGGACGUGGUAAGCUGCGAUAAGCCUCGGGGAGCCGCUAAACAGGCUUUGAUCCGGGGAUUUCCGAAUGGGGCAACCCGGCCGGAGUAAUAUCCGGUCAUCCUGGCUUUUGCUGGGAGGCGAACCCGGGGAACUGAAACAUCUCAGUACCCGGAGGAGAAGAAAUCAAAGGAGAUUCCCUCAGUAGCGGCGAGCGAACGGGGAAGAGCCCAAACCGCUUCGAUUCGUCGGAGCGGGGUUGUGGGGCCCCCAACAGGGGAUGCGAAAGGGUAGCGGAAGGACCUGGAAAGGUCCCCCAUAGAGGGUGAUAGGCCCGUACGCGAAACCUGGACGCACUCCGGGGUGACCCCGAGUACCACGGGACACGUGGAAUCCCGUGGGAAGCAGGGUGGACCAUCAUCCAAGGCUAAAUACUCCUCAGCGACCGAUAGUGAACCAGUACCGUGAGGGAAAGGUGAAAAGCACCCCGGUGAGGGGAGUGAAAGAGUACCUGAAACCGUCUGCCUACAAGCGGUGGGAGUCCUGCUUCGGCGGGAUGACCGCGUGCCUUUUGCAUAAUGAGUCAGCGAGUUACUCUCUGUAGCGAGGUUAAGCCGGGAGGUGGAGCCGCAGCGAAAGCGAGUCCGAACAGGGCGACGAGUUGCAGGGAGUAGACCCGAAACCAGGUGAUCUAUCCAUGGCCAGGGUGAAGGACGGGUAACACCGUCUGGAGGCCCGAACCGAACAAGGUUGAAAACUUGUCGGAUGAGCUGUGGAUAGGAGUGAAAGGCUAAUCAAACCUGGAGAUAGCUGGUUCUCCCCGAAAUGCAUUGAGGUGCAGCCUCGGAGCAAGAAUGACGGAGGUAGAGCACUGGAUGGGCUAGGGGUCCUACCAGAUUACCAAACCCAACCAAACUCCGAAUGCCGUCAUGUCAUCUCCGGGAGUGAGUCUACGGGAGAUAAGUUUCGUGGACGAGAGGGAAAGAGCCCAGAGCGCCGGCUAAGGUCCCCAAAUGCAUGCUGAGUGGGAAAGGAAGUGGGAAUACUGAGACAACCAGGAGGUUGGCUUAGAAGCAGCCACCCUUUAAAGAAAGCGUAAUAGCUCACUGGUCUAGUGUUCCUGCGCCGAAAAUGUAACGGGGCUAAGCAUGCUACCGAAGCCGCGCCUUGUUCUUCGGAACAGGGGUAGGGGAGCAUUGUGUAGGCCGUUGAAGCUGUGCCGUGAGGCAUGGUGGAGGUAUCACAAGCGAUUAUGCUGACAUGAGUAACGAUAAAGCGGGUGAGAAACCCGCUCGCCGUAAGCCUAAGGUUUCCUGGGUAAAGUUAAUCUUCCCAGGGUUAGUCGGUCCCUAAGCCGAGGCCGAAAGGCGUAGGUGAUGGGAAACAGGUUAAUAUUCCUGUACCACCGGGAAAGCGUUUGAGCGAUGGGGGGACGCAGAAGGGUAGGCCAUCCGGGUGAUGGACGUCCCGGUGCAAGCCCGUAGGCGGAGGAGCCAGGCAAAUCCGGUUCCUUGUGAACGCCGAGAGGUGAUGCCGAGGCCGCAAGGCCGCAAAGUGGUUGAUCCCAUGCUGCCAAGAAAAGCCUCUAGCGAGCUUUCCAGGUGACCGUACCGCAAACCGACACAGGUAGGCGAGGAGAGAAUCCUAAGGCGCUUGAGAGAACCCUGGUUAAGGAACUCGGCAAAAUGACACCGUAACUUCGGGAGAAGGUGUGCCCCCGUUAGGUGAAGUUUCCAGCAGACGGAGCCGAGGGGGGUUGCAGAGAAUAGGGGGUAGCGACUGUUUACUAAAAACACAGGACUCUGCUAAGUCGCAAGACGACGUAUAGGGUCUGACGCCUGCCCGGUGCCGGAAGGUUAAGGGGAGAGGUUAUCUUCGGAGAAGCCUUGAACCGAAGCCCCGGUAAACGGCGGCCGUAACUAUAACGGUCCUAAGGUAGCGAAAUUCCUUGUCGGGUAAGUUCCGACCUGCACGAAUGGCGUAACGACUUCCCCACUGUCUCGACCAGGGACUCAGUGAAAUUGUAGUCUCGGUGAAGAUGCCGAGUACCCGCGGCUAGACGGAAAGACCCCGUGCACCUUUACUACAGCUUGGCAUUGGGUUUUGGGCGUGUAUGUGUAGGAUAGGUGGGAGGCUGCGAAGCGGGGGCGCCAGCUCUCGUGGAGCCGUCCUUGAAAUACCACCCUUAUGCGUCUAGGGCUCUAACCUGGAUGAGUGAUCCUCAUCGGGGACAGUGCCUGGUGGGUAGUUUGACUGGGGCGGUCACCUCCCAAAGGGUAACGGAGGUGCGCGAAGGUUCCCUCAGGCUGAUUGGAAACCAGCCGUAGAGUGUAAAGGCAUAAGGGAGCCUGACUGUGAGAGGGACACCUCGAACAGGGACGAAAGUCGGUCUUAGUGAUCCGGCGGUUCCGUAUGGAAGGGCCGUCGCUCAACGGAUAAAAGGUACGCCGGGGAUAACAGGCUGAUCUCCCCCAAGAGUUCACAUCGACGGGGAGGUUUGGCACCUCGAUGUCGGCUCAUCGCAUCCUGGGGCUGGAGCAGGUCCCAAGGGUUCGGCUGUUCGCCGAUUAAAGCGGUACGUGAGCUGGGUUUAAAACGUCGUGAGACAGUUUGGUCCCUAUCUGCCGCGGGCGUAGGAACUUUGAGGGGAUCUGUCCCUAGUACGAGAGGACCGGGAUGGACGGACCUCUGGUGUCCCAGUUGUUCCGCCAGGAGCACCGCUGGGUAGCUAUGUUCGGAAGGGAUAACCGCUGAAAGCAUCUAAGCGGGAAACCCACCCCAAGAUAAGAGUUCCCCUUCCGCUUCGGCGGAGCUGAAGGCCCCUCGUAGACGACGAGGUUGAUAGGCCGGAGGUGGAAGUCCGGUAACGGAUGGAGCUGACCGGUACUAAUAGGCCGUGCGGCUUGACCAUCCCU